ACUAAAUAGAUACCCGGGUAGUCCACGCCGUAAACGUUGGGCGCUAGGUGUGGGGCUCUUUCCACGAGUUCCGUGCCGCAGCAAAAACGCAUUAAGCGCCCCGCCUGGGGAGUACGGCCGCAAGGCUAAAACUCAAAGGAAUUGACGGGGGCCCGCACAAGCGGCGGAGCAUGCGGAUUAAUUCGAUGCAACGCGAAGAACCUUACCAAGGCUUGACAUACGCAGAAAACCGGCAGAGAUGUCGGGUCCGUAAGGGCUGUGUACAGGUGGUGCAUGGUUGUCGUCAGCUCGUGUCGUGAGAUGUUGGGUUAAGUCCCGCAACGAGCGCAACCCUCGUUCCAUGUUGCCAGCACGUAAUGGUGGGGACUCAUGGGAGACUGCCGGGGUCAACUCGGAGGAAGGUGGGGAUGACGUCAAAUCAUCAUGCCCCUUAUGUCUUGGGCUUCACGCAUGCUACAAUGGCCAGUACAAAGGGCUGCGAGACCGUAAGGUGGAGCGAAUCCCAAAAAGCUGGUCUCAGUUCGGAUCGGGGUCUGCAACUC
rnacentral:rRNA from 1 species